UACAGAGGUCUCAAGCGUUGUUCGGAUUCAUUGGGCGUAAAGGGUGCGUAGGCGGCGCGGUAAGUCGGGUGUGAAAUCUUGGAGCUUAACUCCGAAACUGCAUUCGAUACUGCCGUGCUUGAGGACUGGAGAGGAGACUGGAAUUUACGGUGUAGCGGUGAAAUGCGUAGAUAUCGUAAGGAAGACCAGUGGCGAAGGCGGGUCUCUGGGCAACAACUGACGCUGAGGAGCGAAAGCGUGGGGGAGCGAACAGG
rnacentral:rRNA from 1 species